UUUGCCCGCUAGCUCUCUGCAACUCUUACAUGGUUGCCUCCUAAAACUAAGCAGGGCUGCGCCUGGUCAGUACCUGGAUGGUAGACCACAUGGGAAAACUAGGUUGCUGCCGGAA
ensembl:rRNA 5S_rRNA 5S ribosomal RNA